rnacentral:snRNA from 1 species
AGAUGGGUUUCGGGUACCCA